UACGGGAGUGGCAAGCGUUAUCCGGAAUUAUUGGGCGUAAAGCGUCCGCAGGCGGCCUUUUAAGUCUGAUGUUAAAGCGUGGAGCUUAACUCCAUUUCAGCAAUGGAAACUGGAAGGCUUGAGUGUGGCAGAGGCAGAGGGAAUUCCCGGUGUAGCGGUGAAAUGCGUAGAUAUCGGGAAGAACACCAGUGGCGAAGGCGCUCUGCUGGGACAUAACUGACGCUCAUGGACGAAAGCCAGGGGAGCGAAAGGGAUUAGAUACCCCUGUAGUCCUGGCCGUAAACGAUGAACACUAGGUGUCGGGGGAAUCGACCCCCUCGGUGUCGUAGCCAACGCGUUAAGUGUUCCGCCUGGGGAGUACGCACGCAAGUGUGAAACUCAAAGGAAUUGACGGGGGCCCGCACAAGCGGUGGAGUAUGUGGUUUAAUUCGAUGCAACGCGAAGAACCUUACCAGGGUUUGACAUCCUGCGAAUCUUUUGGAAACAGAAGAGUGCCUUCGGGAACGCAGUGACAGGUGGUGCAUGGCUGUCGUCAGCUCGUGUCGUGAGAUGUUGGGUUAAGUCCCGCAACGAGCGCAACCCACGUCGUUAGUUGCCAGCAUUUAGUUGGGCACUCUAGCGAGACCGCCGGUGAUAAACCGGAGGAAGGUGUGGAUGACGUCAAGUCAUCAUGCCCCUUACAUCCUGGGCUACACACGUACUACAAUGCUACGGACAAAGGGCAGCAAACUCGCGAGAGCUAGCAAAUCCCAUAAACCGUGGCUCAGUUCAGAUCGUAGGCUGCAACUCGCCUACGUGAAGGAGGAAUCGCUAGUAAUCGCAGGUCAGCAUACUGCGGUGAAUACGUUCCCGGGCCU
rnacentral:rRNA from 1 species